rnacentral:tRNA from 6 species
GGCGGGAUAGCUCAGUUGGUUAGAGCGUCGGAUUCAUAACCCGGAGGUCUCGAGUUCAAUUCUCGAUCCCGCUACAA